rnacentral:rRNA from 1 species
GACGAACGCUGGCGGCGUGCUUAACACAUGCAAGUCGAACGGAAAGGCCCUGCUUUUGUGGGGUGCUCGAGUGGCGAACGGGUGAGUAACACGUGAGUAACCUGCCCUUGACUUUGGGAUAACUUCAGGAAACUGGGGCUAAUACCGGAUAGGAGCUCCUGCUGCAUGGUGGGGGUUGGAAAGUUUCGGCGGUUGGGGAUGGACUCGCGGCAUAUCAGCUUGUUGGUGGGGUAGUGGCUUACCAAGGCUUUGACGGGUAGCCGGCCUGAGAGGGUGACCGGCCACAUUGGGACUGAGAUACGGCCCAGACUCCUACGGGAGGCAGCAGUGGGGAAUAUUGCACAAUGGGCGGAAGCCUGAUGCAGCAACGCCGCGUGCGGGAUGACGGCCUUCGGGUUGUAACCCGCUUUCGCCUGUGACGAAGCGCGAGUGACGGUAAUGGGUAAAGAAGCACCGGCUAACUACGUG